rnacentral:rRNA from 1 species
UGAGUAACACGUAUCCAACCUGCCGUCUACUCUUGGCCAGCCUUCUGAAAGGAAGAUUAAUCCAGGAUGGCAUCAUGAGUUCACAUGUCCGCAUGAUUAAAGGUAUUUUCCGGUAGACGAUGGGGAUGCGUUCCAUUAGAUAGUAGGCGGGGUAACGGCCCACCUAGUCAACGAUGGAUAGGGGUUCUGAGAGGAAGGUCCCCCACACUGGUACUGAGACACGGACCAG